CGCAGUGAUCUAUACUUCAAAUCCCGCAGGACCGUUCAAAGCACCAAGCCGUUGUCACAUCUCACAUAUACGUCGACAAUAAUAAUUGAUUGAUCGUCGAUUCUGUAUGCACAUUCUGAGGUGAUCGUGGGUGAUCAUUUAACAAGGCCACCUCAGGAAACAAUUGAAGAGAUGUAGCCGUCUGGGAAAAAUGCCGUGUGGCGGCGAGUCAUGCGUGUGUGUUUGUAUGCACAGCGUGCACGAUUCUUCGUCGACGACGGCGGCGCAUAGUCGCGUUCGUUAAAAACAGCUAAUGGGAAAACGGCGGUGGCGGGUGAGGCCUAUAAAAAUCGUACCAACGACGAUGACGUUGACGGAUGGACCUCCAGAGGGCGACGACGACCGUGCUGCCACAAAAGAGGCGUUUAAAUUGUAUUACACGAAAUACUUUUUCA